AGAAAGCAAAGUUGGAGCUGAAGCAGAGGGCUCCUGCCUCCAAGAAAACCCUGGCAAAGCGACAGGGGGAGGCAGCUCCCAUUGUUGUGGAGGUGAUUUUACGGCCACCUACCAGUAGAGGGACAGUUGCUGUGGAGCAGCAGGAGGAGCCAUUGCCGGGGUUGGAGCCAUUUCCAGGAGUGGAGGCAUUUCCAGGAG